rnacentral:rRNA from 1 species
GAUAAACGCUGGCGGCGUGCAUUAGACAUGCAAGUCGAACGGGCGUUAUGGGGCUUGCUCCAUAACGCUAGUGGCGGACGGCUGAGUAACGCGUGGGUGACCUGCCCCGAAGUGGGGAAUAACUGCCCGAAAGGGUGGCUAAUACCGCAUACGAUCGUUCUUUCAUUUGAACGAUCAAAGCAGUAAUGCGCUUUGGGAGGGGCCUGCGUCCGAUUAGCUCGUUGGUGGGGUAAUGGCUCACCAAGGCGACGAUCGGUAGGUGGUCUGAGAGGACGAUCACCCAGACUGGGACUGAGACACGGCCCAGACUCCUACGGGAGGCAG